CAAGAUCACAAAGCCGUGAUGUCAUCCUGCUGGACUGUGAUGUCAUCAGACACAACCCUGAGGACCUGCCUAGAAGCCAUGGCCUCCUCUCCUAUGCACGGCCCUUCAAAGCACUGCAUCUCUCUGACCCUGCAAUGUUGGCCCUGCAUCCCCAGGUCCAAAAUGAUGAAAUUUCCCUGCAGGUCUGAACAACUUUAAAGGGCUUUUUUUCAACCAGGACUCACCGGAACUGAGUUCCGGCUCCUCUCAGUGGGCACCAUUGCCAGGAUGGCAUUCAUGGUGAGUUCCCUCUUUUAAUAGAAAAAUAGCAGUGACCGUUCCAGAGCUUAGAGACAGUUGAACAGAUGCCUUUGAAAGGUGGCGGACUUCUUCUUCCUUGGAGGUUUUUAAGCAGAGGCUGGAUGACCAUCUGUCAUGGAUGCUUUACGUGUUAUCCCUGCAUUGUGUUGUUGUUGUUGUUGUUUAGUCGUGUCUGACUCUUCGUGACCCCCUGGACCAGAGCACGCCAGGCACUCCUGUCUUCCACUGCCUCCCGCAGUUUGGUCAAACUCAUGCUGGUAGCUUCGAGAACACUGUCCAACCAUCUUGUCCUCUGUCGUCCCCUUCUCCUUGUGCCCAACAUCAGGGUCUUUUCCAGAGAGUCUUCUCUUCUCAUGAGGUGGCCAAAGUAUUGGAGCCUCAGCUUCAGGAUCUGUCCUUCCAGUGAGCACUCAGGGCUGAUUUCCUGAAGAAUGGAGAGGUUUGAUCUUCUUGCAGUCCAUGGGACUCUCAAGAGUCUCCUCCAGCACCAUAAUUCAAAAGCAUCAAUUCUUCGGCGAUCAGCCUUCUUUAUGGUCCAGCUCUCACUUCCAUACAUCACUACUGGGAAAACCAUGGCUUUUGCCCUGCAUUGUAGAGGCCCUAUAAUUCUAAAGGUAAAGGUAAAGGUACCCCUGCCUGUACGGGCCAGUCGUGUCCGACUCUAGGGUUGUGCGCCCAUCUCACUUAAGAGGCCGGGGGCCAGAGCUGUCCGGAGACACUUCCGCGUCACGUGGAAAGCGUGAUGAAGCUGCCCUGGCGAGCCAGCACCAGCGCAGCACACGGAAACGCCGUUUACCUUCCCGCUAUAAAGAGGUACCUAUUUAUCUACUUGCACUUAAGGGUGCUUUCGAACUGCUAGGUGGGCAGGAGCUGGGACCGAAAGACGGGAGCUCACCCCACCGCGGGGAUUCGAACCGCCGACCAUGCGAUCGGCAAGCCCUAGGCGCUGAGGAUUUACCCACAGCGCCACCCGCGUCCCUCUCCUAUAAUUCUAAGAUGGCAAUAACUAAAGCACAACGUUUAUAAAGAUGCCAGUUUUGAACAACACCAGUCAAUGCACUAGAACAGGGGUGGUGAACCUUAUGCCCGAUGGCUGAAUGUGACCCUCCAGGCCUCUAUGUUUGGCCCUCAGAGUGCUCCCCAACCCAAGCCCCUCAAUGGACCCGCUUUUGCCUGGCUGGGAUGCAUCCUUGAAUUCUGUUCUUACUCCUUUUUUGUCUGGAUGGAGGACUGUCUGUGGGUGUGUAGACACUAGCCUACUAUACAAAGGUAAAUUUUGCCUUGGCUGCUCCACCCAGUUUUCCUCUGGCCACACCCACCACUGGCAGGUGACCCUCAGGAGGUUGCCCUGAGGGGAAUGUGGCCCUCGGACUGGAAAAAAAUUGUUUCCUCAUACUAUAGGAAGAGAGCUAACAGAGAUUCAGCCCAAACUACUGGUAACAUUUAAGAGAAACGCCUUUGAAUCAUUGAAUUGUAGAGCUGGGACCGAUAGGGUCAUCUAGUCCAACCCCUGCAGUGCAGGAAUCACAGUCUCCAUUUGCCGGGUUCCUGGAAAGUGUUCCAAAGAGAUGGGUUCACCACCAAAAAGGCCCUGCAGCUGCAUUUCCCUACAUUUUCUGUGGCAAAAUGAUGGAAGCACUUAGGUGGCCUGGCAGGUGGGAAAAGCGCUCUCCUAAACCCCAGGCUUCGCAAUCUGUGCUUUUUUCUCACAACAACCCUGCGAAGUGGGCAAUGCCGUUAUUCCCACUAUACAUGUGUGAACUGAAUCUCUGUGUUAAUUGCUCAUUGACCGACUGUAUAUUAUUAGUAAUUUUAUUGUAAUAUUAUUACUAUUAUGAACUUGUAACCUACUAAGUUCUACUCAGAGUAAACCCGUUCAAAUUAAAAGACCUAAGUUCAUCAUGUUGUUAAUUCCAGUGAAUCCGCUCUGAGUAGAACUUAAUUGGAGACCACCCAUUAUUAUUCUUAGUUUUUGACUUUUUCUAUUUUUUUAAAAAGUUUCACAAGAAAGAAAAAGUACUCAAGAACAAAUGAAGAUGCACGGUAGGAAACCAUCCUUAAAUAAUUUUUAAAAGUCCACAGUCAAAUUAAAAGCCGAGACCAGCAAAGUUCAAUACUUAGUAGAAUACCAUCAUUGAUGUUUAAAGAAGAUUUACUGCAAACACCUGGAGACGAUCUUAUCAUUUAUUUGCUUGUUUAUUGAUUUAUUUAUCAUUUUACUAUGUUAAUCUAGCGCAACUCACUGGUUGGAUCCCUGGCUUUCACCUAGCCAGCCACCACAGCUUCUGACAUUGCUCAUAACCAGCAGGAGGCGCCUUCACAAGAGCUGAGCAUCAGGCGAUGAUGGGAAUCUUCAAGGAAGAUCAGCACAAGUCCAAGACUUUUCCGUGGAGACUGUUUACCCCAAGGCUGGCUGGCCCAUUCAGGCCCCAAUAGCACCACAGGAAAGUGUACAUUUGAAUUUAAACUGCUAUGAGGUUCCCCCCCCCAAAAAAAACAACAAAACAUUGGUUUUGUUUGUAAAAAAAUUAAUGUAACUUGCUUUUAAUGUUUUUCUUAAAAAAGGUAUUUUAAAUGACUAUUUUAGACUGCGUUGAAAACCUCUGAGAGGCCUUUUGUCCUAGUAAGCAGAAUAUAAAUUUUGUUAGAUAGUCCUGCACGGUUUUUAUUAGCUGUAUUUUAAUAGAUUUGCUUUCUACAUUGCAUUAAAUCUAUUAGAGUUUAAUUACUUUUAAACAAUUACCUACAUGCUUUUAGCUUUUUGUAUUGCCCCCCCCCCCAUUGUUUAAAUUUGUGUAAAUCGCCUUGAGUCGCAGUCUGGGAAGAAGGCAUGAUAGAAUAGAA